GGGGGCAUAGCUCAGAUGGUAGAGCACUCGUUUAGCAUGCGAGAGGUGCCGGGAUCAAUACCUGGCGCGUCCA
rfam:Stegodyphus mimosarum contig123033, whole genome shotgun sequence.